rnacentral:rRNA from 1 species
GAUGAACGCUGGCGGCGUGCCUAAUACAUGCAAGUCGAGCGAAUGGAUUAAGAGCUUGCUCUUAUGAAGUUAGCGGCGGACGGGUGAGUAACACGUGGGUAACCUGCCCAUAAGACUGGGAUAACUCCGGGAAACCGGGGCUAAUACCGGAUAACAUUUUGAACCGCAUGGUUCGAAAUUGAAAGGCGGCUUCGGCUGUCACUUAUGGAUGGACCCGCGUCGCAUCAGCUAGUUGGUGAGGUAACGGCUCACCAAGGCAACGAUGCGUAGCCGACCUGAGAGGGUGAGCGGCCACACGGGGACUGAGACACGGCCCAGACUCCUGAGGGAGGCAGCAGUAGGGAAUCUUCCGCAAUGGACGAAAGUCUGACGGAGCAACGCCGCGUGAGUGAUGAAGGCUUUCGGGUCGUAAAACUCUGUUGUUAGGGAAGAACAAGUGCUAGUUGAAUAAGCUGGCACCUUGACGGUACCUAACCAGAAAGCCACGGCUAACUACGUGCCAGCCGCCGCCGUAA